CACAUCCUUGUUCCCAGAGAAUCCUUCAAUGGCACAAACCCUUGAAAACACGACUGACAUGUAAAAGAAUGGCGGAGUUUCCCGAAGGACCGUGUUUGUACCGUGGAGAGCCAAACGAUACCCGGUUUACCGAUUUCUCGGGCACGCGCGAGUACUCCAGUAAGUUGCUCUCUUUGUUGUUAUUUAGUUGUAUGUAGAGGGCGGGACUCGAACUGAAAUGAACAAGGCGCGGCCAAGAACCCCCUUCCUUCACACGUGUAGACAAAGGGACCCAUCAACACAACCCAAACAUGCAGGGAAAAGUUUUCCCGUGCGCGCGACUUCACGCCAGGACCUCGCGAAGCGCCCAGGCCAGCGCGGGACUGCGAGUACUGGAUAACUUCUGUUUCAACGCACGCCCUUUGAAGGAUUUAUUUAAUCAUUAUUUUUCGCUGUGGAAUAUUAUUACUUUUCUUCGGGAUUAUUGGACUAUUCAUAAUGAGAAUGAUUACUUUCAACGUACAACAUGGACAAACAAAAGUCUGUGUGGAAGCAAAUGGAGAAAAUCACUCUGGUGUGACUGGUGGAUCAGCAUCAUCAGCAUCAUCAUGGUCAGUGUCCUCAAACAGCGUAAGAGCGUAAUGGAAGUCAAACACAGAGUCUCUCGUACACAUUGUGGGCCUGUUAUUGCAUGAUCAGCCCAUGCUUUACAUGUCAAAUGUUUCCCAGGCCUUCCUGUGAGGGAGUAUCAGUGCUUUGAUCUGCAUUCACAUGAAUCUGCAUCACGGUUAUUGAUAUAAAGAGCGUGCAAUCAGCCAAACCACAGACGGCAGACUCACACUGCUCUCUCGUCUCGUCUGAGGAAGCUCUGUGGCCCGGUUCAAGCGUGUGAGAAUGCUGGAGAAUCUCGUGAUGCUGUGAACACAGAUUACAGGACGCUGAUGAGGCAGAUUGAGCCCAGUCUGUAAUUAAGUCAAUCACAAACUGCGCUCAUAUUUCAUUAGCCCUGAGGUAAUGGUCCUCGUCUGAGGACAGAAUUCAUUUUUCUGUCAGAUCUGCUGUCUCAGUCAUAAAUGGACCUUGAAAUGGGAUGGAAUGAACGAUGUGCCAUGAAGCACAACUGAUCCCAGUCAGUCUCAUUUUAAAGGCUGUUUAUUAUUAGCUUUAUAGUUUUUUUCAACUGCUUACACACAUUUUCAAAACUUUUUUACACACAAAUCCAAGAAUUGCACACACAAAAUGCAAAAUGCCUCACAUCUCAACAAAAUGAAGCACUGCGUUCAAAAUAUCACAAACACAUCUGAAAAACAAACAUUUGCAAACACCUUUGCCAUAAUAUGAAUCCCUGUUAGAUUUGUGUGUUACAUAGAGAACUGUGUGUUGUGUUUUGCAAAAAGUGUUUUAAUAAAACUGAGUCAAAAGCAGGGAAUUAGUGUAUG
ensembl:lncRNA